AGAGUUUGAUCCUGGCUCAGGAUGAACGCUGGCGGUGUGGAUAAGGCAUGCAAGUCGAGCGAGGCUUAGAGCCGAGCGGCGAACGAGCUAGUAACACAUUGGUACUUGCCCCAAAGUCAGGCAUAACUCCGGGAAACCGGGGCUAAUUCCUGAUAGUCUCUGCGAGAUUUAUCUCAAAGAGUAAAGCUUCCGCGCUUUGGGAGAGGCCUAUGUCCUAUCAGCUUGUUGGUGAGGUAAAAGCUCACCAAGGCUAUGACGGGUAGGGGGUGUGAGAGCAUGACCCCCAGCGAUGGAACUGAGACACGGUCCAUACUCCUACGGGAGGCCGCAGUCGAGAAUAUUCCGCAAUGGGCGAAAGCCUGACGGAGCGACACCGCGUGUAGGAUGAAGCCUUUAGGGGUGUAAACUACUUUUAUAUGGGAAGAAGUAUGACAUUACCAUUUGAAUAAGAGGUUGCUAACUCUGUGCCAGCAGCAGCGGUAAUACAGAGACCUCAAGCGUUAUCCGGAUUUAUUGGGCGUAAAGCGUCUGUAGGCGGUUUGUGGUUUAGUUCUUUUUGGUGCUUUUAAGACCUACCACUUAAUAAAUUUUCUAUUACGAUUUCCAGAUUUUGGCUGUGAUUUCAUAAAAAUUUAUUACAUAUGCUAAGCAUGUGUUUCAAAAUUUUUAUUUUAUCUCGCCUAAAAUCUGAAAUUCUCAUAACGAAAUUUUAUUAGGUGGUAGGUCUUGAGACUAAAAAGAACUGAAUCUUUUUCAAGUCUAGUGUUAAAUCUCGGGGCUCAACCCCGAGGCCGCAUUGGAUACUGGCAAACUAGAGAGUAGGAGAGGUGUGUAGAACUUAUGGUGUAGGGGUGAAAUCCGUUGAUAUCAUAAGGAAUACCAAAGGCGAAGGCAUCACACUGGCCUAUCUCUGACGCUGAGAGACGAAAGCGUGGGUAGCGAAAAGGAUUAGAUACCCUUGUAGUCCACGCCGUAAACGAUGGAUGCUAGCUAUUUGAAGUAUCGACCCUUCAAGUGGCGAAGCUAACGCGUUAAGCAUCCCGCCUGGGAAGUACGAGCGCAAGCUUAAAACUCAAAGGAAUAGACGGGGACUCGCACAAGCAGUGGAGCAUGUGGUUUAAUUCGACGAUAACCGACGAACCUCACCAGGGCUUGAAAUCUAUCUGCACGCCUUCCGAAAGGAAGGAAGCCUCCGAGGGUGAUAGACAGGUGCUGCAUGGUUGCCGUCAGUUCGUGCCUUGAGGUGUUCCGUUAAGUCGGGUAACGAACGCAACCCUCAUUGCCAGUUACAAGUGUCUGGCGAAACUGCCCUCGUUCAGGGGGAGGAAGGAGAGGAUGACGUCAAAUCAGCAUGGCCCUUUGAUGCCCUGGGCUACACACGUGCUACAAUGGGAGGUACAACGGGUUGCCAAACCGUAAGGUGGAGCUAAUCCCAAAAAACCUUCCUCAGUUCGGAUUGAGGUCUGAAACUCGACCUCAUGAAGUUGGAAUUGCUAGUAAUCGCAGGUCAGCAAUACUGCGGUGAAUACGUUCUCGAGUCUUGUACUCACCGCCCGUCACACCAAGGGAGCUGGUAACACCCGAAGCGCCAAGAUUUAUCGAGGUUCUAAGGUGGGAUCAGUAACAAGGGUGAAGUCGUAACAAGGCAUGCGUAGCGGAAGCUGUGCAUG
rnacentral:rRNA from 1 species